UUAACUAUUGACAAUUGGUAACUGAAUGUAAAUGAAUUUUACUGCAACUUUUGUAAAAAUUGUGUUUAUAACUGGUCUUUUUGAAGUUGUGGAAAUCAUAUACAACGUGUCGAUUAAAAAAGACAUUCCGCUUGAAGAUAAAACUGAUGAAUUGUGUAAAACCUGGAUGGAUUAUUGUACGACUGGACAGUAUUCAGAUUUCAUGAAGAAAACAUGUCCUCUGACAUGCCAAACAAGAUAUAUUUGAUGAUGCUUCUUGUAUGAAUGUCUAAAGAUCAGCCGGAUUUUGGGAUUUCAGUUGUUGCGAAUAAUACAAUAAAUAUUGUACAUGUUUUUUUCGUCAUUAUUAUUGGGUUAUUGUAUUAACUUUAUUAGCAGUUACAAGCCUUAGGGGUUGAACAAUCAAGUUAUGUUAUUUAUUCCUACGUAUUAUAAUGUAAAGACACUUUUCUAAUUAAAACAAAAACCAAAAAAAAAAAUGUGCCAAUGAAGAAAUUAGAUAAUCAGGACAAUGGAAUAAAUUUAAUUUUAGUUUUGUUGUCGCUAAUAUUGCGUGCGAUUGACAACAAAAACAAAUUGAUGUUAAAUUCAA